UGGGGAAUAUUGGACAAUGGGCGAAAGCCUGAUCCAGCCAUGCCGCGUGUGUGAAGAAGGUCUUCGGAUUGUAAAGCACUUUAAGUUGGGAGGAAGGGCAGUAAGCGAAUACCUUGCUGUUUUGACGUUACCGACAGAAUAAGCACCGGCUAACUCUGUGCCAGCAGCCGCGGUAAUACAGAGGGUGCAAGCGUUAAUCGGAAUUACUGGGCGUAAAGCGCGCGUAGGUGGUUCGUUAAGUUGAAUGUGAAAGCCCCGGGCUCAACCUGGGAACUGCAUCCAAAACUGGCGAGCUAGAGUAGGGCAGAGGGUGGUGGAAUUUCCUGUGUAGCGGUGAAAUGCGUAGAUAUAGGAAGGAACACAGUGGCGAAGGCGACCACCUGGGCUCAUACUGACACUGAGGUGCGAAAGCGUGGGGAGCAAACAGG
rnacentral:rRNA from 1 species